rnacentral:lncRNA from 1 species
CACUGUCCUGUGGCCUUCAUUCCUUGGGGAAAACACCACAAUGGUCAUCACCUGAACAAAUGGAAUGGGGAGAUGUGGAAGUGAAAGAAAGGGAACGCUGAAGAAGACAGUAUCAGAGACCCAGGAGCAAUGAAACCUCAAUUGGCACAGAGGAUUUGGGAAGAAGGACCCAGAUUUGAGUAUUUUCAGCUCUAGGUGCUGAAGAUGUUCAUGAUCAAAUAGACAUGGUAGUUGAGGGAAAGAGGGUUUUGGGGAGCCCUUCUCCUUGGAAUUCUAGGGAGAGGACAUCUUACUCUUAUUGGAUCAUGCACAGUGCCUGAAGCAUUCUGUUGCAUGUAGAAAUCAGUAAAUUGCAGAUGUAAGAUUCAAAACCAGACUUCACAUCUACCGACUUCAGUGACCCUGAAAUUUGUUCACAGAGAGCAUUUAACAUAACUGUCUUCAUCAUCUCCUUCUCUACAUUAAAAAUUAUGGAGGCCUUACAAACUGGUAGAAGAUGCAUAACAGAAGAGCUUAUGAAGUUAAAGAUGACAGCAUAGCAGCACUGUUCACACAGACGUUAUUGGUGAUUCACUCUUGAGUCAUGAAAAGUCAACCUUGAGCCACAGAAAGUCAACCUUGAGCCAUGCAGAGUGGAGAGUCAUACAUGCCAUUCCUGGGACCAUCAAAAAUGGCAGAGGUCACACAAAAGGCAAAACUUUUAAGAGGUGUUUUAAACGUCGUAUGGGCCAAAGAGAAGCUGGAUUUCCUAUUGGAGUCAGCUGUAACACACGUGUGAUGAAAUUGGCCUGUGAGGACAAGGCAGUGAGCAGAGAGGACAGCAGUCCUUAUGAGAUCAAGCUCUAAGGUAUCCUAGAUACAUUUGGAGAAUUCACCUGAGCUACAGGAUG